AAGGCAAAUUUGUUAACUUAAGCACUUUUGCUGGCAGAGCAGCCUUUUAAAAUUUUUUUUUUUUUUUUUUUACAAAAAAAAACCCUGAAAUGAAGUGUGUCAAAGGAAAUAAGUGUUACAUCGUGGUAGGUUGUUUUUACAUAUGGACGUACUAUGUCCCCAGCUAUGCAUAAUAAAACUUAAAGUAUCGCCUAAGUGCAUAUUUUAUUUACUCAUACAUACAUACUUGUAUAUAAUCGUAUUCGUACUUUUAUGUAUUUGGAGCAGCGUUUGGCGUUAGUUGUUUUUUUGAUUACUUAGUACUUGAUUUAUUGUACUUUAUUUGUUUCUUCUCUUUUUCUGCAUUUUAUGUUCCGAAACUAUACAAACUUUGAUUGAUUGAAACUGGCAUACUAAAAACUAAACAUAAACUACUACAUAUACUAAAAAAAAAAAAAAAAACAAAAAUGUGUUGAACGCAACGCAUAAAUAAAACCAAAUGUAAAAUUAAUGUAAGAAAUCGCAAAUCUUGAAGGAAAACGCACCUGCCAAGGAUAUACAAACUCAAAAGGUAGAACUUAAGGCACAAAGCAAAGUGGGCUCUUUGGAUAACAUUAAGCACAAGCCCGGUGGUGGUGAGAGAAAAAUUUUUGACGAUAAGGACUAUUUGAAAAAUAUCGAGCAUACUACUGCACUGACACCACCGACACAGAGUCCACAACCAUCCAUGACGACUUCAACAACUGGUGCCGAUGAAAAUUUAAAUCAGCAGAGUUAAAUUAAUUAAACACAAAAAUUAAAAAUAAAUAAAAUAAAAACAAAAGCAAAAUCAACAAUUAAAAACAAAAUUACAACAUUACAUAUUUACAGAGUUAUAUACAUAAGAGCAAAACAAUACAUACAAACAUGCAAAUGCAAAAAUUAAAAAUAAAAAACCCAAACCAACUUCAAGAAACCAUUAUUAUCUAUAAUUAGCAUUAAUGCCAUACGAUUGAAUAUUUAUUAUAAACCCAAAACAUUAUGAAAAAAUUCAAAAUUCACAAUUUACAUACCUACAUACAACAAAUAAAAAUUUACAUACAUGCAUAAGAGCCAACACUGUAAUUGUUGAAAUUGUAUUGUCACCAACCCACAAAAAAAA